UACGAAGGGGGCUAGCGUUGUUCGGAAUUACUGGGCGUAAAGCGCGCGCAGGCGGCUAUCCAAGUCAGUGGUGAAAGCCCGGAGCUCAACUCCGGAACUGCCAUUGAAACUGUUUAGCUUGAGGAUGAGAGAGGUGAGUGGAAUUCCCAGUGUAGAGGUGAAAUUCGUAGAUAUUGGGAAGAACACCGGUGGCGAAGGCGGCUCACUGGCCCGGUACUGACGCUGAGGUGCGAAAGCGUGGGGAGCAAACAGG
rnacentral:rRNA from 1 species